rnacentral:rRNA from 1 species
UACGUAGGGUGCGAGCGUUGUCCGGAAUUACUGGGCGUAAAGAGCUCGUAGGUGGUUUGUCGCGUUGUUCGUGAAAACUCACAACUCAAUUGUGGGCGUGCGGGCGAUACGGGCAGGCUGGAGUACUGCAGGGGAGACUGGAAUUCCUGGUGUAGCGGUGGAAUGCGCAGAUAUCAGGAGGAACACCGGUGGCGAAGGCGGGUCUCUGGGCAGUAACUGACGCUGAGGAGCGAAAGCGUGGGGAGCGAACAGG